rnacentral:ncRNA from 1 species
UUUCAGGGCAGGGUGCAAUUCCCGACCGGCGGUACAGUCCGCGAGCCGCAUAAUUUUUGCGUGCUGAAUCGGUGCAACUCCGAUACCGACAGUGACAGUCUGGAUGGAAGAAA